CCCCGCGCCAAGAGCGGAGGGGCGCGGACGACGUCAGGAGGCGGGAAGGGGCGGGGUGAGCCCUAAGCCCCGCCCACCCCAUCGUUUAGCCCCCUCGAGCUCCAAAGAAAGGAGCAGGUAAGGGGACGCCGUCCAAAAACGGUGGCUGUUAGGCUAAUGGAAGGCGGCUCUUCUGCUGGGAUGAAGUGGGACUGCAAAUCCCACUCCAUCUUCUUUGGACUGUGACAACAUCAUAGUCCAAACUCCCAUUUUAAGAACAGGGAAACUGAGGCUCAGUGACUAGACAAACGUUGCCCAGAGUCAUGGUCAUGGAGGAAGCUUGUGCUAAAUGGUGGAGAGGAGACCAGAGCCCAGCUCCCAAUGCAAGGUUCGUUCACUCCUUUGGCCACCUCCGUCCCCGCCAAAAUAAACAAACAAAAAACUGUCGUUCGGGUCUGACCACUGGCUCUACGCGCCAGCCCCGAGCGGAGGAGGGGAGGAGCGCACCCGAGAAAGCUCCGACGCACCCGCUGCUCGCCUCCGGCGGGAAGGCGCCUCUUCCGACUGUCCUAGGCGAAUUAAAUACUUCCCUUCGCAGAAGACUUAUCUCGGGGUAGGGCCGCAGCCUGAUUUCCAAAUCGCGGGUUUGGUUUUCGCGGCGUCCCCUCCCCGACGCGCGCAGGGAGCGCGCCCGGCCACCUGCAGCCUUGGGCCGCGGCCAUCUUUCCGCCUGGGGCCACCUGGCCCGCGUCCUUGGCGCCCGGCCCGCUUCGUGACUGUUCUCCUUGCCGCUACUUACAGAACAUAGCCGCCUUAGCGUCUUAAAGAAGGGGACAGCAUGCACGCGGACCCUGUCCACCACACCUGGGGACACCUCGCCAGGAGCAGGGAGCAUUUAGCCCGUGGACACUUAUCAGGGCCGCCAUCCCUGGUCCACGCAUACGAUGACAUCUCACCUGAGGCAGCACAUCAACCCGAGUCCGCGACACUGAUAACACCUCCUGGGGCCAAGGAGCGCACCACAGCCACCCUUGGUCCCCUACAUUGUGUGGGGCUGGCAGUUUUUUGGCAUUUCUGACCGCCUCUUGGCACUGGACCACCGCCUCCAGUGCGCUGGACCUCGAGUUGGAGCCACAGCUUUCUCUUCCCAAUCCGUGGCCUCGCAGUUUUGUUUCAAACCUCACUGUUUCAAACCUCACUGUUUCAAACCUCGUGGUGUUGAAAUGAUUAAAUGAGUUAUGGGGUGUGGUAGUGUUGGGCAAACCGCAAAAAAGCGGUCUGGGUAAGGUUGGGCCCUAAAAUCCUCCUCCUCCAUCUCCCUGGCUUCUUUGCCUGGCUGUUUCCUCUCGGUCUUUAAACAGGCUGGCCUCUCCAAGUCCAAAAAACGAAACGAUCAAGACAGCCUCCUCCUGAAGUGCCCUCUCCAACUCGCUUUCAAGUGCUUGUCUCUCAGUGAGACCUCAAACAGUGGUGUUCCCUGGCUGCCUGGGCUUCCUCAUUUCUCAACACUUGGCAGUCUGGCUUCUCCUUCCCCACUAUAACCCUUCUUCACCCUGCUCAGGCAAGAGUAACUCAUGACUUUGAUUUUGCCAAACCUUGCAGGCAUUCCUCAGGCCUUACCUCUCUGGUUCUCUCUGCUAAUUUGACAGCUUGGAUAGCUUUCACCUACUGGAAUCUACUACCUUGGUUUCAGAAGAGUGAACCCUCUCAAUUACCAUGACAAGAACUAAAGGUCUUUUAGUGAAGGUGCCACCCUGAAGUUUCUGGUACACCAGCGCCAACCUGGAGACCACCCUACCAUUUGCUGCUAGCCACCAAGACUGCCAUUCGUAUAGCAGAAGAGAGAUGAAUACAUCACACCCGAGCCAAGAAAGCGCCAUCAUCGUUAAAAUCAUGGGCUAUUGUUCCGGGAUCAGACCUUACCAAGUUAAAGCUAAGAAAAGCUUAGUCUAUAUUUUCUUUUUUUCUUUUCUUCCCUUUAACUGCUCCCCAUCUUGUUAUUAAUGUAAUUAGAUCUGGCUCACCUCAAGUUGUUGCUUUAAUGUCUGUUUAGUUAUGCCUCGUGGAGAUUUGCAUAACCAGGGACAGCUUGCUGCUUCCAGAAGAAUGUCUCUGUCCCUCUUAGACUUCCUCAAAUUAGGAAAACAUCAUGAGUUUUUCUAAGGAUACUAGUAAUCCAAGGAAUAGUAGCUGUAUUCGUAAUUGGUAGGAAUCAGACUCUUGUCCCUCAAACACAGAAUGUUUUUUCUAUGUUCUGCUUAGUCUAAUGCCAUAUGGAACACUAAAGGUUUAAGAUAGACUGCUUCCUUGGGUCUUUGUCAGUCCUUAAAACUAUAUAUCCAUUUCACCAAAGGAAUUACUUCUUCUAGCUGUCAAUAUAACCAAUGUAAUCCUAUACAGCUUACUAUUGUUAUUGCAACAGCAAAAACUCUUCCCCUUCAUUAAGUUGUAUUGAUGGUAUAGGAACCGACAUUUCAGGAAAGCCUCCUGAAGAAAUUUUCAAAACGUACAUUAUUGCUCCUUAAACCUCUUUAUCAAUCACUCCCCCAGGCAUGGUGACAAAACCAGUCUCAAUGGUAGAAGUAGAGGACCUAAGGCAAACUGUAGCCAUUAAAACAGGAUACAAGGAUGCAAAUGCCUGGUUAGAAUGGAUUCAAUUUUCCGUUCACACUUUAAAUACAUGCAACUAUUAGGCUUGUGUGCGCAGUAGGCCAGAGGCCCAGGUUGUCCCCUUUCCACUUGGAUGGUCCCGAAAUCCAGCGGACAUGGAAGGCACAGUAGCUCUUUCUCAGGAUUCCAAUGCCUGAAAUAACAAAUUGUACCGAGUUCUUUAGCCUCUAUGGCCCUGAGCACCAUACAGCCUCCAUCUACCUAGGCGAAGGUCGCCUCAGGUGAAGUUCACCUGGUGUCUCUCACGACAGGGGGAGAACUUAGUGUUCCUUGGAAACUUAACAGGAUGCAGUAAGUCAGACGCUUCUGAGAGCUGGCUCAUCAGUCCACCCUUACUCAUCCCAGAGCAGGUGUAUGGUGGGAUUGUGGAGGACCUUUCCUGGACACCUGCCAAGUCAUUAGAGUGGCACUUGUCCUCUAGUCCAGUUAGCUAUCCCUUCACCCUGGCAAUUCAUCAACCAGAGAAAGAGAAAUCAUGACAUUGGCAAAUAAGAGAAGCUCCUUAUGGGCCUUUUGAUUCUCAUGACUAUAUAGAUGCAAUUGGAGUUUCUUAAAGAGUACCAAAUAAAUUUAAAGCCCAAAAUCAGAUAGCUGCCAGAUUUAGGUCAGUGUUGUUCUGGUAUGUAAAACAAUUAAUUUUUAAAAACUGUAAAUUAGAUAAACUACAUUUAUUACAACCCACAGCAGUUUGGUAACUAUACUAAAGACGCUGUCAAAGGAAUAGCUGAACAAUUAGGAUUCACUAGCCGAAUGGCCUAAGAAAACAAAAUAGCCCUUAACGUGAUAUUAGUGGAGAAAUGUGCUGUUGUGUUAUAAUUAAGACCCAGUGUUGGACCUUUAUUCAAACAACACUGCUCCCCGACGAGAGCAUAACAAAAGCCCUCCAAGGACCUACUGCUUUAUCAAACAAGCUGGCUAAGAUUCUGGCCUCAAUAACCCUAUUUCUUUUUCUCUCUCUUUUUUUUUUAAAGAGACAGGGUUUCACCAUGUUGGCCAGGCAGAUCUUGAACUCCUAACCUCAAGUGAUCCACCCGCCUCGGCCUCCCAAAGUGCUGGGAUUACAGCAUCGUGAUAAUUAUACUUCUCGUUAGACGUUGUGUCAUACCAUGCAUCGGAGGACUUGUGCGGAGGCUAGUAGACACAACUCUUACUAAAAUAUCCCCAACCCGUCCUCCACCCUAUUCAGAUAGAUUACUUCUUUUAGAAGAACAAACAGAACAACUAAGCCAAGACAUGUUAAGGAAUUUUGAAGAGAAAGAUAAAAAGUGUGAAAAUUCAAGAUGGGGGAUUGUUACAGUGAAUACCAAGUUUCUCUUCAAAGAAUCAGUAUGUUCAGCUCUCUUUUUCUUUAAUUUUCUGUUUUAAAGUUUAACUUCCUUGUUCUAAUCAGUAGUUCACAUAUGUUCCCCCUUUCCCCGGCUCCAUCCUGACUCAUCCUGGUCAUCUGAUCACCCCUGGCUACCUGCUCUGACAGGCCCAUAACCGUCCUUCCUGCCAAAACACCCACCUUGCCACUCCAGCUUGGACCUCUGCUCUUUUUAAAAUAGCCAAUCUGGAUUAGCCUAGCUUGUGCAGUCUAACCCUAGCCAAUCAGGGAUGACACAGCAGUAGGGACGACCCCUUCCCCCCUUGUCCAAGUGUGUGGCGGCCGUCAUUGCUCCAUUCAUGCUCCACACCCUUCUAUAGAAGUAAACUGCCUUUCUGGGAGGGUUUAUCUUUGAGUGCUAUUUUUUUUUUCUGCAGCAUCAAAAUUUUACUUAUAACAAUUGCAACAAAAAUUUUUCCAAUAUACUUAGUGAAAAAAAUUGCAUAUAAGUGGACUCAUGCAGUUCAACCCCGUGUUGUUCAAGAGUCAACUAUAAUACAAAUACAAACAACAUAGUUUAACAACUGUGUGCAGAGCAUUUACAUUGCAUUAGGUAUAACAAUCUAGAGGUUGAAGUAUACAAGAGGAUGCACAUAGAUUAUAUGCAAAUACUGUACCCUUUUACAUAAGGGACUUGAGCAUUUAGGAAUUUUUAUAUACAAGUGAGCCCUGGAACCAGUUCCUUGCAGAUACUGAGGAAUGACUAUAGUAAUAGGUAGUCAAUGAACAUUACUGUUUAGACAUAACCUCCAUGAAGGCAGGAACUUUCUCUAUUUUGCUGAAUCCUGUAGCCCAGCCAGCAGGCAGUAGCCACUCAAAACAUGUUAAAUAAAUUAAUCUACCACCCUAAUAAGUGUAGAAGAAGGAGGUAUAGAAUUCUUUUUUGUUUUUUUG